rnacentral:tRNA from 1 species
ACUAAAAUGGCAGAAGAAUGCAUAAGAUUUAGGUUCUUACCAUGAAAAAUAUUUUUCUUUUAGUA